rnacentral:rRNA from 1 species
AAGUCGUAACAAGGUUUCCGUAGGUGAACCUGCGGAAGGAUCAUUAUUGAGAAGGGUCUUCGGGCCCAAUCUCCAACCCUUUGUCUAUAAACCUCUGUUGCCUCGGUGGGUCGUGCCCCGGUACCGUCGGCCUUUUGGCUUUCGAGUGCCCGCCGAUGGAUUUUUAAACCAAGUCUUCAAACGAGAAUUCUAAGUGAGAUUAAAUGUUUCAAUAAAACUUUCAACAACGGAUCUCUUGGUUCUGGCAUCGAUGAAGAACGCAGCGAAAUGCGAUAAGUAAUGUGAAUUGCAGAAUUCAGUGAAUCAUCGAAUCUUUGAACGCACAUUGCGCUCCUUGGUAUUCCGGGGAGCAUGCCUGUUCGAGCGUCAUUAUCAACCAUCAAGCCCUGCUUGGAAUUGGGACCUGUCCCCGGGACAGCCCCUAAUAACUUCGGCGGCGGUGUUCAACCGAAAGCGUAGUAAAAUAGGCUUCCUUGGUUGAGGCCGUCUGCCUCGCUCGUCACCUCAAGGUUGACCUCGGAUCAGGUAGGGAUACCCGCUGAACUUAA